CAAUGUUGCAUUUUAUGAAACUGCUUGAUGUGGAAUUCCAAACACUGACCAUGGCAGCAAAAAGGACAUGCUCACCACUUAAUCUAGCAAUACCCCCGAUCCAAGGCCAAAUGGCUAACUAUUUAAUUACUCUGGUUAACCCAACACAACGGCGAGCCUUGACGCUUGCCAGAUUUAAUG